rnacentral:rRNA from 1 species
AGGAUGAACGCUGGCGGCGUGCCUAACACAUGCAAGUCGAACGUCCUGUCUCGCAAGAGGCAGGGAGUGGCGGACGGGUGAGUACCACGUGGGUUAUCUACCGUGAGGUGAGGAAUACCGGCGAGAAAUCGCCGACAAGACCGCAUAGGCUCGAUGCAAGUCGAGCAAAGCUCUCUCGCGAGAGGGAGCGCCACACGAGGAGCCUGCGCCCGAUUAGCUAGCUGGUGGAGUAACGGUUCACCAGGGCGACGAUCGGUAGCUGGUCUGAGAGGACGAUCAGCCACACUGGGAUUGAGAACGGCCCAGACUCCUACGGGGGGCAGCAGUGAGGAAUUUUCGUCAAUGGGGGCAACCCUGAACGAGCAACGCCGCGUGCAGGAGAAGGUUUUCGGAUCGUAAACUGCUUUUCUCGGGGAAGAGAACGGACGGUACCCGAGGAAUCAGCCCCGGCUAACUACGUGCCAGCAGCCGC